UACGAAGGGUGCAAGCGUUACUCGGAAUUACUGGGCGUAAAGCGUGCGUAGGUGGUGGUUUAAAUCUGCUGUGAAAGCCCUGGGCUCAACCUGGGAAUUGCAGUGGAUACUGGAUCACUAGAGUGUGGUAGAGGGAUGCGGAAUUUCUGGUGUAGCAGUGAAAUGCGUAGAGAUCAGAAGGAACAUCCGUGGCGAAGGCGGCAUCCUGGGCCAACACUGACACUGAGGCACGAAAGCGUGGGGAGCAAACAGG
rnacentral:rRNA from 1 species